ensembl:lncRNA
GAUUAGGAUCAGGAACUGCUGUCCUUGCAUGACUCCACCCCUUCCCCCAUUAUCCUCUAUGCACAACUUAAGGUAUAAAAACUACUUUGGAAAAUAAAGUGCGGGCCUUGUUCACCGAAACUUGGUCUCCCCAUGUCGCGCUCUCUCUCACUCUGGCUGAGUCUCCAUCUGGAGUGCGGAACCCACCAUGCUUACUAAUUAUGCCUGGGCUUCUAAGAUCCGACCGGGGAGGCCUCAGUGUCUCCUCUCCUUAAGGAGAAUGGAAGGACGCCUGCAGCCUAUCUAAGUUUUAUUGCUAGUGGGAAUUGCAUAUUUUUAAGAACAGUGUUAUAUGCAGUUGAAGAAGUUGAAGUAAAAGUCGCUCAGUCAUGUCCGACUCUUUGCAACUCCAUGGGCUAUACAGUCCAUGGAAUUCUCCAGGCCAGAAUACUGCAUUGAGAAGUCGUGUCCAACACUUGCAACCCCGUGGACUGUAGCCUGCCAGCCUCCUCUGUCCGUGGGAUUCUUCAGGGAAGAAGGCUGGAGUGGGUGGCCAUUUCCUUCUCCAGGGGAUCUUUCCAACUCAGGAAUUGAACCCAAGUCUCCUGCAUUGCAGGCAGAUUCUUUACCGACUGAACUAUGAGGGAAGCCCUUUUUACCUAUGUGCCUUUAAAAAUUUUUUAGUCAUAGCUACUGCCGUUGAACAUGUUGGCAUACGGAUUUGGUGGCAUGCACUUAAUGUUUUACAUUGAAAAUAUAAACAGGCUUUUAAAGAAAACUCCAAAUGUUUUUUUAUACUAGAUGCUACCCCUGUUUAUGUGCUUAUUUCCAAUGUUUAUUUCUUCAUAAAUAAUUUUGUAGUGUGUUGAAUAACAACCGUUGUAG